GGUGCAGCUUAUGAGGGGAAUGUAGGACAGACGGUCUGUUUGGGCUUUGGGCCCAAACCGGAUCCAAAUCCAUACACAUAAGCCAAAAAGAGAAAAAAAGAAAGUGCUCAUGUGAAGCACGUUGAUUCACAAAAGCGGAUUGCGUUCUUCAAUUGACUCAAAUCACAUCUCCACAUCAACCUCGCUGCGAUUUCAGAAUCAAUAAUCACGGUGUUGCGAUUUAGUUUAUCUGUUUCGUCAUGAAAGCUCGCGUCUCCUUGGUAUGGUGCUCGUGGAUCCUGAUGUAGCAUCGCGUUCUGGAGUCUCACUCGAUUCGAAGCAUCGACAUAGUUGUGUUUCAACACUUCAUGGAUUGGCGCCCGAGUUCAAGGCAUCUAUCAGCCAUCUCAGAACCUCCAUGGAUUUUUGUUUAAGUUCAAGGCGUCACGUGCUUGAAUAAACGUAAAUGGAAUCGAGAGUGAACUUACCGGCGACAGAAUCAGAUACGAUUGAUUUCGAUUCAUUUCCUCUUCUCCUUUGCUUCUCCCCUUCUUACUUGUUCUGGAAUCUUCUUCUCAAUUCUUCUUUUUUCUCUUCUGUGUGUGGCGGUGAGUUUGUUGCGUUGUGAGAUUUGCGUGUGUGAGAUUGAGAUUGCGGUGAACUCCAAAAAAUGUGAUAUUUCUGGUGAACGAUUAAUUUAUAUGAUCUUGAUUUAAUAGAGUCUGACUCUGUUAAAUCUUCUGAGCUUAAAUCAGUUAGAGUGUUGAGUUCAAUUUUGCUAAAUCCAAUUGGGCUUCUAUUAUAUAAUAUUGGACCUUAGCUUGCAGUUCGGUUAAUGGUUUAGUUCAAAUAUAAAGGUUAUGGUGAGUUGGUCAACUGGCUUUGAAUGUUGCUGUUAAGUUCUUGCAGUGUUAAAAUAGAAAAUGCUAUGAAGGUUUAUUGUGAUUGAAAAUUCGGCUUUGGCUUGUUCUCUUAGCCUCUUGAUUCUGUAAUCAAGUGGUUAUGUUAGAGAGUUUUGAAAUAGAGUGGUUAUUUUGUUAAUGGGUGAAAUUUAAUUUUGCUAAUUUGCCAUCUGCAUGUUAACGUUGAGUCAUGAAUUGUUAAUGAGUGGAGUUAAUAAUGUGAAUGGUUUUGCUUGUGGAAUGCAAAUUGGAAUUUGGCUUGUUAAUCUUAAGGACUGUACUUUGGAUCCUUUUUGCAGGUAAACAAAUUAUGACUGAGUUUGGAUGCAUUUGUGAGGUGCUUGGAUAUGUGAAAAUGGAAUGCUUGGAAUUCAAAAUUUGUAUUGGUUGAAUUUGUAAUUUUUGCAGUUUGAAAUGUGUGAAUUGGAUUGGCUAUUGUAACUUGAAUGGAAUUAAAUGUAUAAAUUGGUUUGGUUAUGAGAUUGUAAUGUAAUGAGUAUAAUGAAUGUAGAAGAUUGAAGUUUGAGAUUUGAAUAUAUUGAAUUGGAAUUGAAAGAUUAUGAAAAGCUUGAUGGAAUUAUAA